rnacentral:misc_RNA from 1 species
UGUAAAUUGCUUUCUAUUAGAAUGGAAUAUACUUGUCGAUAACUGUAGAAAUCAGGAAGAAAAGAGCCAAGGUGUACAGGUCUCUGAAAAAGUAUCAGCUGUGUUUACUCAUUCUUCACAGCUGACCUUCGGUGUAGUUGAAGGGCAGUGUAUGCAAAGAUAAGGGCCAAGCAACUGGUCAGGAAGUUAUGGCAGAAGUUUAGGUCAUAGGAAAGCUGAAAUACAAACUCAAUCCACAUUGAUGAAGAGAAAUCCUGUAGGUCAGUGAAUUCGGUUUAUAUAAGUCGAUUCUUGUAUAACUCAUGUACUGCUAAUUUUUAUGUCGGGGUGCCGAUUACAUAAUCCAUUAGAAUGAUUAUAAA